UGUGACAAGUUCUGACUGUGCCAGGGUACAGACUCUUAAUUCCUUCUGGAAUACUGAGAGUGCCGGGAAAUGACAGCUUAAUGUUCAGGGUACGUCUUAGUUUGUCUUGGAUCUUGUGACAGGGACAGCUGCAUUAGUCUUGGAGUGAAAGUGUAUCUGAGUAUGUUGGGCCACAUUUGCAGUAGUUUGUUCUGAACUCCAGAGCUAUUGACCAAGCCCGUCCUGCCUUCUGAGGUAUGGAAGACACUGAGGCCUCCUGACCCACGGCACAGCAUUCUCUGCUUCCAGCGCGUCUGCCUUGGGCCAUCACCCCAGAGAGUUUGAUCAAGACUCAGCCCGCCUGCACCCAGGUGAAAUAAACAGCCUUGUUGCUCACACAAAGCCUGUUUGGUGGGCUCUUCACACGGACGGGAGUGAAAUUUUGGUGCCGUGACUCGGAUCGGGGGACCUCCCUUGGGAGAUCAAUCCCCUGUCCUCCUGCACUUUGCUCCAUGAGAAAGAUCCACCUACGACCUUGGGUCCUCAGACCGACCGGCCCGAGGAACAACUCACCAAUUUUAAAUCGGGACCCCACUGGAAAUCGGACUGUCCAAC
rnacentral:lncRNA from 1 species